ensembl:lncRNA
UCAGGUGGUUGCGCUAUGGGGCAGAGCCCCACGUGGAGGAGGUUAUGGGGCAGAGCCCAUAGUGUGAUGGUGUUCCGUGGUUACGCUAUGGGGCAGAGCCCCACAUGGCGGAGGUUAUGGGGCAGAGCCCCACGUGGCGGAGGUUAUGGGGCAGAGCCCAUAGCGUGAUGGUGUUCCGUGGUUACGCUAUGGGGCAGAGCCCCACAUGGCGGAGGUUAUGGGGCAGAGCCCAUAGUGUGAUGGGGUCCGGUGGUUACGCUAUGGGGCAGAGCCCCACAUGGAGGAGGUUAUGGGGCAGAGCCCCACAUGGGGGAGGUUAUGGGGCAGAGCCCAUACUGUGAUGGUGUUCCGUGGUUACGCUAUGGGGCAGAGCCCCACAUGGUGGAGGUUAUGGGGCAGAGCCCAUAGUGUGAUGGUGUUCCGUGGUUACGCUAUGGGGCAGAGCCCCACGUGGGGGAGGUUAUGGGGCAGAGCUCCUCGUAGGAGAGGUUAUGGGGCAGACCCAGCGCUAUGGGGCAGUUGCAGCACUAUAGGGCAGACCCACUGCUAUGGGUCCCACCCUUUGCUAUGGGGCAGAUGCAGUGCUAUGGGGCAGACCCGGCACUAUAGGGCAGAUGCAACACCAUAGGGCAGACCCACUGCUAUGGGUCACACCCAGCGCUAUGGGGCAGACGCAGUGCUAUGGGGCAGAGGUAGCGCUAUGGGUCACACCCAUUGCUGUGGGGCAGAGGUAGCGCUAUGGGUCACACCCAGCGCUAUAGGGCAGAGGUAGCGCUAUGGGCCACACCCAUUGCUGUGGGGCAGAGGCAGCGCUAUGGGUCACACCCAGCGCUAUGGGGCAGACCCAGUGCUAUGGGGCAGGGGCAGCGCUAUGGGUCACCCCCGUUGCUGUGGGGCAGCGGCAACGCUAUGGGGCAGACCCAGUGCUAUGGGCCACACCCAGCGCUAUGGGGCAGACCCACUGCUAUGGGUCACACCCAGCGCUGUGGGGCAGACCCACUGCUAUGGGUCACACCUGGUGCUAUGGGGCAGACCCACUGCUAUGGGUCACACCCAGCACUAUGGGUCACACCUGGUGCUAUGGGGCAGAGGCGGCGCUAUGGGUCACAUCUGGUGCUAUGGGGCAGAGGCGGCGCUAUGGGUCACAGCCAUUGCUGUGGGGCAGACCCGGUGCUAUGGGGCAGAGCCAGCACUAUAGGGCUGAUGCAGCACUAUAGGGCAGACCCACUGCUAUGGGUCACACCCGGCGCUAUGGGUCACACCUGGUGCUAUGGGGCAGAGGCGGUGCUAUGGGUCACAGCCAUUGCUGUGGGGCAGACGCAGUGCUAUGGGGCAGAUCCAGCACUAUAGGGCAGACCCAGUGCUAUGGGGCAGACCCACUGCUAUGGGUCACACCCGGCGCUAUGGGGCAGACCCGUUGCUGUGGGGCAGAGGCAAUGCUAUGGUGCAGACCCACUGCUAUGGGUCACACCCAGCGCUAUGGGGCAGACCCACUGCUAUGGGUCACACCUGGCGCUAUGGGGCAGACCCGGUGCUGUGGGGCAGAGGCGGCGCUAUGGGGCAGACCCACUGCUAUGGGUCACACCCGGUGCUAUGGGGCAGACCCGGUGCUGUGGGGCAGAGGCAAUGCUAUGGUGCAGACCCACUGCUAUGGGUCACACCCAGCGCUAUGGGGCAGACCCACUGCUAUGGGGCAGACCCGUUGCUGUGGGGCAGAGGCGGCGCUAUGGGGCAGAUUCCCGUGGAGGGCGCGGUCGGUGGGGCAGCGCCGUGGGGCACAGCCGCCCCACGCAGCCAAACUCCG